AUGGGAAAGAAACCUGGAAAGGUAGGGAGGUAUGGAUAUGGACAAGCUAUGCCAAGGAGCAGGGCUUUGUCAUGGAGAGUGACUAGGUGCUUUUACAUAGGAAAGUCACCUGAUAAUAUUAAAACCUGUGAAAUAUCACUCUGGUGGAAGUGUGAAUGAAUUUGAAAGGGGUGUAACACUGUUCUACUUUGUUUACUCCUCAGUACCCUUGGCUGUGUACAUUUGAGUAAAGAGAGCACUAUAAAAUCAAAAACCAAUGAAAUGGUUUCCAGAACACAGAACUAUUAAGCUUAAGAAAAGGACAGAAGGAACUGAAGAGAGAGGAACUGUUUUGGAGCAUCACACUUCCACCUCAGAAGAAAUAAGGAAGGAAGGAGGAGGGUGUUCCCACGGCUCUUCAACCAGGCGGGCUCUUCAGCCUACAUCCCCAUCUCAUCAAGUAAAAGGGAUUUUUCAACUGGACCAACCAGAUGGUUUAACAGUGCACUCCCACACCAUUCAACUACGCAAGGGAGAUACACUUAACAUAUGCAGUCGUAUAACACCUACUAACAUUUUCAAACAUUAAACCUUUAAAAAAGAGUUCUAAAGAAAUAGAAGCUUGAAGUAUCAUCUCUCAAGUAUAUAGACACUACUUCAUGGUGUGGUAAUAUAUGCAUAUAGAAGCUAGUAAACACCUCCAGGAGAUGCAAAAGGAAUUAGAACUGCCACAAGGUGCAAGCAAAACCUUGAGCUUCUUUAAAAUAUGAAGACUUCAAAGUUAUUUAUCCAAACCAACCUGAUCAUUUCUUAAGAGUGAAUAUACCUUGGAAGAUGUGUCCUGCCUUUAGUAGCGUCACAAUGGAUUACAUCCUCUAUAAAGCAGUCUGGGAGGCUAACAUCUGCCACAAGACAAAUAUGGUGCCUGCCCCCAUGGAGCUCAUAUUCGAAUGGAGAAAAUGUCAACAAGUAUCCCACGGAGUGAACACUUCAAAAGGAGAAGCACAGGUGAGAAAAUCGAAUUUGGACACCGUUGAGGAGACUAUUGCAGUCAUCCAAGCUCAAGAUGGUGGAGCUUCAUCCUUGAGAAUAACCAAUGGGGAUAGAUUUAAGAGACACUUAGAGUCUGCAGCCAACAGGGCUGAAUGAGCAGAGAGUUAUGAUUCAGAAGAUCAUCUAAAAUUGAACAGCUGCCACUACUGGCAAUAAGUCUACUGCCAUUUGGUAGAUAACCUUCUUAUCACACAGAAAAAUAUCAGUACAGACAAAUAGACUGCAAAGAAAAUGAGACCAUCAGCAAAGAAGAUAAAGAAGUUUGUACAAAGCAACUUUUUAUAAAUGGAUGGCUGUCAGGCAAAAAUAAAUUUCCUGUGGACAAGACCAAGAGCAAGGCAAGAGGAAAAUAAACAUGUUUAAACU
rnacentral:sRNA from 1 species